rnacentral:rRNA from 1 species
UACGGGGGGGGCAAGCGUUGUUCGGAAUUACUGGGCGUAAAGGGCUCGUAGGUGGCCAACUAAGUCAGACGUGAAAUCCCUCGGCUUAACCGGGGAACUGCGUCUGAUACUGGAUGGCUUGAGUUCGGGAGAGGGAUGCGGAAUUCCAGGUGUAGCGGUGAAAUGCGUAGAUAUCUGGAGGAACACCGGUGGCGAAGGCGGCAUCCUGGACCGAUACUGACGCUGAGGAGCGAAAGCCAGGGGAGCAAAGCGGG